AUCACUUCUACAUUCCUCAGUUUAAAAUCAUGUAAUAUCUUGAGCAGUAAAACUAGAAAGAGAUUUUUUCCUAAUAGGUGAAAUUUAGCUGUCUUUCGGACAGUGGAUAUGGAAAUAUCAUUUAUGAUUAUUUCAGAUGGGAGAUAUUCUUGGUCCUGGUGAAUUCCAUAGCAGGAAUUUAAAACAGGACUCUUUGUUGUGUCUGCUUGGAUCACUUACAGCCCUUGGUACCUGCCUCUUUGGAAGGCACCUCCGGUCACAUCAGGAGCAUGGAUGGGGCCCCACCUGCAUACACAUGACUUCCUUGCCCCUGGUGCUUUCCUGUGGCCAGUGAGAAGCAUCAGCAAGAAACUGAGAAGGGGCUAGAGAGCAGAAGAGGACUGAAGCAGCCCCUGAUUCCUAAAUCGAGACUAUGAAACUUCUGUGGCUGCCACCUCAGCCUCAGCCUACUCUGCAUUGGUUCUGAGGAGCACUCUGUAGAGUUGGAAAUAAUUUCCCAGAGGGUCUAGAACACAUUUAAGGAUGCUGGGCAAAAAUAUUCAUUGAAUCAUAAUACUUAUGUGGCUCCCAAAAGCAGGAGACACCAACCUCACACCAUCAACAGCAAUGGCAUUUCUGUGUUAUUUGU
rnacentral:lncRNA from 1 species